GAAUUAGAACAAAAUUGCAAUGACCUGCAUUCUAGAAGAGAACCUAUACGGUAUCUAAUCCAAAAGAAGUUGAAGGUAAGGGAGGUGGUCAGAGCAUCUCCGGAGGCCACCUGCGUGGCUGAACCCGAGCCUAAACGCCUCAGCGCGCCGCCUCACCAGGUCCGCUCUUCGCCCCGCCGGGGCCACUGGCGAGCGCGGACAGGCUCCAGGUGGGGCGCAGUGGGAGGGGAGGGGGCUCGGCACGCAGCAGCUGGGGAGCCGAACGCGAUCCGAGGACAGCCAAGAAGAAGGCGGCAUUCCCUCACACAAAAUGGUGGCGCUGACGAGGAGGCCGGCGCACCUGGGGGCGCGCCACACGCCCCUCGGGGGACCCGGCCGGCCGCCUGCAGCUGGACGCGCGCCCGGGGCCCGGGAGGCCGGCGUGGGCCUGCGCCGCGGCCGAGUCCUCAGGGCGGCCCGCAGUCCGCGGGUCCGAAGCCGGCGGGGCGCGGGGUCGGGCGCGGCGGCCUCGGCCUCAGGCCGGGGCCCCCGCCCCGGACGGGCUGCGCACUCACCUCGGACGCGCCUCCGGAGCCACCGGAGCCCGGGAAAGGAGGCGGAGCCGCGGGAAUGAAUGGAGCCGGCGGCUGCUCGCUGGCGACCCCCGGCCGGUCCCGGGCCGCGCCGCUCGCGGCUGCCAGGGCGGGUGCGGCCGCCCUCCCCUCGCCCGGGACGCCUGGCUCCUCGUCUGCGGGUCGGCCGCAGCCCACCGUGCCCUCCGCCGGCGUGACGCACUCGCGCCGCAGCGCCUCCAGCCUUUGCAGCCGCGCUGCGCCCGCGCCCACCGCGAAUCCCCCCGCCCGCGCCGCGCGGCCCCUCCUCGGCGCCGGGGACGCCGCCCUGCCUCCCUCCGGGCCCGGCCUUCAGGCGACCGCCGGGCAGGUGCGGGCUCGGACAGCCGGGCGGGGGGGGGGGGGGGGCGCCGGGCUGCCCCCGCCUCGCCCCCGGAGCCCGCUCUCCGCCCGGGCCGCCGUCACAAGGCAGAGUGCGAUGCCCCAGCUCAGGGCUAUGGCCCCGUAUUAA
rnacentral:lncRNA from 1 species